AUGCCCACACCUGUGGCUUCUGAAGCAGAGCACCAGCAGUGACAGUCCCACCAGAACCGCAUGGAAUAGAAAACUGUGCAUUUCCCUAAGGAAAGGGAAUGCCAGAGAAGGGCAGAAGGGAAAUCAGGAAGACAAAACGGUAAAUUACCUACCACAAAUCCAAUUCAUUGGUAUUUUUCCACUUACACUUAACCAAGCAACGAUUUCUCCUGGUCCCAUAAUGGAAAAGAGGGUUUAUCUAGAUUCAUAUAUACAAGACUGAAGAGUGAAGAGAGACCCAGAGAAUGUUCUAAAAUCUGCCAGUUAGCAUAAUCACACAGAGAAAUCUCUGCUUCCAGAGGAGGAGCCAAGUUCAAGUCAGAGGUGAGGAAUGCCAACAGGAAAGCUCACUUUCUCCGGGGAUAUUCAGGCCAACACUAGGAAACCACAGCCAAGUCAGGCAGGGCUUGGGGCGGAACUGCUGACACCUCCACCCUAGCCAAUCCAAGGUGCACGCCUGCCUCAUGCAGCCCAGCGUGACUCCCGCCAUUGGCACACUGUGCCCAUCACAGGCUGGAGCUCCUUUCCUCCACCGUCUUCCCAACUCCUGCCAACCAGAACUUAACUACUCCUUUGGAUUCUGCUUUUCACUUGUUCUUCAUCAGACUAUGGAAGCUUAGACUUCAUAAUUUGGCUGAGACUUCAAAAAUAGUUUUAAAGAAAGCUAUUCCCACCCUGCUAAAUGUCUUCAUGUUGGAGUGGACCUUUCCUCUAUCUGUCAACAGAAUGGAUAAAUUGUGGAAGAGUAAUAUCAGAAUACUACACAUCAGUAAAAAACAACAAACUUCUGCUACAAACAAUCAACAUCGAUGAAUCUUUCAGGCAAAAGGGUGAGCUAAAGUAGUCAGACACAAAAGGCUACAUACUGUAUGAUUCUUUCUACAAAAAAAUUCAAGAACAGGCAAAAUUAAUCUUUGAUGAUAGGAGUUAAAAUAGUGGCUACCUUGGAUAGUGGUGGUAGGGUUAUGGAUUGAGAAACAAGGGAAUCUUGAGUGCUGGAAAGACUCUGUUUUAUAUCCUGAUCUGAAUAAUGGUUACAAGGGUAUGAAAAUAUUCAUGAAGCUGUAGUUUUUUGUAAAUUGUACCUCAAUCAAAAAGACAUUACAUAAUGGAAGUGCUUACUGAGUAAAUGAUAUUAUAUCUGGAAUUCAGGGAGGAGGGGAAGUGAAAGGGGAGUCUAUAAAAUAUUGAUGAGUUGAUAAUUGUAAAAUUGGGUAAUGGGCACAUGAAGGGUUGUUAUACUAUUUUGUCUGCUUUUUUAGCUUAAAAAAUAAAUAAAAAA
rnacentral:lncRNA from 1 species